UAACAACUUUAAUUUGGACGCGGUCUUGUUUAAACAGCUUUUUGUCUCGACGAGAGAAUUUCGAUAUUUUCUUAGGAAUAAUUGAAGAAAAAGAAAAUGGCAGCAUUAACAACAUGACAUCUGCUUAAAAUGCCUGUCAUUGAAUAAGAUGUCCGUCAGCAGAAUGUUGAAUCAGGACGACGACCUUGUUUCGCAAGCUAAGGAGCAGGAAGCGAAAAAGUCAAGAUGAGCUGUGGGUCAAAAUUCCGUUCCCUCUCACCCACCACUCCCUUAAUAAAUGUCUUUUUGUUUAUUAUUUUUUCUACGUCAAUGAAAAAAACUUAUCUAAUCAUAGCUAGCUCUUUUAGGGUUACUAGAAAAGUCUGGAGAUAAAUAUCAAGCAGUUUCAGUUUUCUUAAUGUGACUAUAAUUACGUUAGAGUUUUUUUUUCACAAUAUUGAUAUAAAUAUUUCAUGUAGAUAUAAUAAAAAUUAUAGAACUAUA